UCCAAUAUGAUUGCCAAAAUUUAUAGUAGCUAUUGCAGUUAGCUAGUAGCAGAUGGUUUUAGAUGGGGCGUUCCAUGGCUUACUUAGGAUGCCUUACUGACUAUAGUCGGCUAUGAGCGUUCACAAUCCAGAGUUAUCAAAUAGCACUUUAUCUGGCUAAAACAACAUUGUGAAUACCCCUAGUAUAAUAAACUUAAUAGUUUUUUGGUUCUUAUUAUUCACUACGCAUAUGUUACUAAGUUUUACUAUGAUUUUAGUAAUUUCUUGUUGUAUUUUCUCAAUUCAGGCUUGAAAGUGAUUGUGGUUAAGUACAUAAGUAUUUGGGUUGUUGGUUGAAGACACAGAAAACCAUAUGUGAGAAACAGACCAGUAAGUUUUCAAUACACCUUCACAAAAUUGACAGAAUUAUAGAUAAACAAAUGCAACAUUGAAACGCAUACAACACAAUAAUGUCGAUGGGAAAUAGAAGCUUGGAUUCGUUUUUGAAGCCACCAACCACUAAACCCAACAAUCCAACUGCAUUGGCAAAUAAACAUCAGUUACCCCCAUACAACUCUCAGGAGCAUGGCAAUCCUAUUGGCAAAAAUAUCAAAUUUCCAACCAAAACUAGGAGUCCUUUUAAAAAGAUUUAAUGAAAUCGAAUAUUUUGAGAUCAAUCUUUUGUGAUAAAUGAAUGUGGGAAUUGUGAAUAAUAAAAUAAUUGUUAUUCAAUAAAACAUUCUCUUAUGAUUUUCUACA